rnacentral:rRNA from 1 species
AACGUAGGACGCAAGCGUUAUCCGGAAUUACUGGGCGUAAAGCGCGUGUAGGUGGUUUUAUAAGUCACUGUUGAAAGCUUCCGGCUAAACUGGGAGAGGUGCGGUGAGACUGUAGAGCUAGAGUUUGGGAGAGGGGUGCGGAAUUCCGGGUGUAGUGGUGAAAUGCGUAGAGAUCCGGAGGAACACCAGAGGCGAAGGCGGCACCCUGGCCUAAUACUGACACUGAGACGCGAAAGCAUGGGGAGCGAACGGG